GGUCUUUCGCGGAUAGAAGUCUUAGAUGGGAAUGUUGCUAGGCACGAGUGCAAUGUGGCUUUCGAUGGUGGCUGAUGGACAGUUCUGUGCCAAAGGGAUGACAAGGGCUGCCCAGGUAAGUUACCGAAGUUCCCUGCCAGAGGAAGUUAGGUUGAAAGUCCACUCGACGUGCCACAAUGAUGACAUUUUAUUUGCUACUCUUGACUGUGAGGAUGACGAGAAUUAUUACCACCAUUUUCCCAACUGAGGCACACAAAGUGGUGACUUACAGAAGCUAAAGAUGUGCCUAAGUUGACAUGAAAUGAAACUGUCUUCGCAGGUCCUAAAGCACAAGUAUCCCACUCGGGCCGCGGGCAGACAGGCACUGAGAGGAACCCACUGGAAGCUGAAAUGGUGGACUUGAGUUUUGGAUGUGUCUGGACCAGCUUUAUUUUUUUCUGCAGUUGGAGACAUGUUUUCACCUGCGGAUGGCAUGCUUGCGGUGCAGAUUUUUGAGGCAUUUAAAGGUGUGAAGAGUUGGGUUGUCGACAAGGUGGCCUGGAAUGAAGGAUUUUAAGCAAAGGCAGACCUGUUAACCUUGAAGAUUUCUAGGCAUUUCUGGUGGCGGUCAUGCGCCGACUGACCAGUUGAAAGGCAGCUGCAUGGAUGCUCAUGAGUUAGAAGAUCAAAUAACUGAAUUUUAAUAAACUUUUAUAAACCAUCUGAUCAAGUUUGCUUAUUUCAACUUAA